rnacentral:rRNA from 1 species
GCAAGAUUAAAAACUCAAAGGAAUUGACGGGGACCCGCACAAGCGGUGGAUUAUGUGGAUUAAUUCGAUGCAACGCGAAAAACCUUACCUACCCUUGACAUGUCAGAAAGUUUUCAGAGAUGAAAUCGUGCUCGAAAGAGAAUCUGAACACAGGUGCUGCAUGGCUGUCGUCAGCUCGUGUCGUGAGAUGUUGGGUUAAGUCCCGCAACGAGCGCAACCCUUGUCAUUAAUUGCCAUCAUUUGGUUGGGCACUUUAAUGAGACUGCCGGUGACAACCGGAGGAAGGUGGGGAUGACGUCAAGUCCUCAUGGCCCUUAUGGGUAGGGCUUCACACGUAAUACAAUGGCGCGUACAGAGAGUUGCCAACUCGCGAGAGGGAGCUAAUCUCAGAAAGCGCGUCGUAGUCCGGAUCGGA